rnacentral:rRNA from 1 species
UACGAAGGGGGCUAGCGUUGCUCGGAAUCACUGGGCGUAAAGGGUGCGUAGGCGGGUCGUUUAAGUCAGGGGUGAAAUCCUGGAGCUCAACUCCAGAACUGCCUUUGAUACUGAGGAUCUUGAGUCCGGGAGAGGUGAGUGGAACUGCGAGUGUAGAGGUGAAAUUCGUAGAUAUUCGCAAGAACACCAGUGGCGAAGGCGGCUCACUGGCCCGGUACUGACGCUGAGGCACGAAAGCGUGGGGAGCAAACAGG